UGGGGAAUAUUGGACAAUGGGCGAAAGCCUGAUCCAGCAAUGCCGCGUGAGUGAUGAAGGCCUUAGGGUUGUAAAGCUCUUUUACCCGGGAUGAUAAUGACAGUACCGGGAGAAUAAGCCCCGGCUAACUCCGUGCCAGCAGCCGCGGUAAUACGGAGGGGGCUAGCGUUGUUCGGAAUUACUGGGCGUAAAGCGUACGUAGGCGGCUUUGUAAGUUAGAGGUGAAAGCCCGGGGCUCAACUCCGGAAUUGCCUUUAAGACUGCAUCGCUAGAAUCAUGGAGAGGUGGGUGGAAUUCCGAGUGUAGAGGUGAAAUUCGGAGAUAUUCGGAAGAACACCAGUGGCGAAGGCGACUCACUGGACAUGUAUUGACGCUGAGGUACGAAAGCGUGGGGAGCAAACAGG
rnacentral:rRNA from 1 species